UACGUAGGGGGCAAGCGUUGUCCGGAUUUAUUGGGCGUAAAGAGCGUGUAGGCGGCCAGGUAGGUCCGUUGUGAAAACUCGAGGCUCAACCUCGAGACGUCGGCGGAACCCUCUGGACUAGAGUCCGGAAGAGGAGAGUGGAAUUCCGUGGUGUAGCGGUGAAAUGCGCAGAUAUCAGGAAGAACACCCGUGGCGAAGGCGGC
rnacentral:rRNA from 1 species